GACGAACGCUGGCGGCGUGCCUAACACAUGCAAGUCGAGCGAGUGAAUCUCCUUCGGGAGUGAAGCUAGCGGCGGACGGGUGAGUAACACGUGGGCAACCUGCCUCAUAGAGGGGAAUAGCCUUUCGAAAGGAAGAUUAAUACCGCAUAAGAUUGUAGCUUCGCAUGAAGUAGCAAUUAAAGGAGCAAUCCGCUAUGAGAUGGGCCCGCGGCGCAUUAGCUAGUUGGUGAGGUAACGGCUCGCCAAGGCGACGAUGCGUAGCCGACCUGAGAGGGUGAUCGGCCACAUUGGGACUGAGACACGGCCCAGACUCCUACGGGAGGCAGCAGUGGGGAAUAUUGCACAAUGGGGGAAACCCUGAUGCAGCAACGCCGCGUGAGUGAUGACGGCCUUCGGGUUGUAAAGCUCUGUCUUCAGGGACGAUAAUGACGGUACCUGAGGAGGAAGCCACGGCUAACUACGUGCCAGCCGCCGCCGUAAUAC
rnacentral:rRNA from 1 species